CCUACGGGUGGCUGCAGUGGGGGAUAUUGCACAAUGGGGGAAACCCUGAUGCAGCGACGCCGCGUGUGGGAAGACGGUCCUCUGGAUUGUAAACCACUGUCCCCAGGGACGAAGAUGACGGUACCUGGGGAGGAAGCUCCGGCUAACUACGUGCCAGCAGCCGAGGUAAUACGUAGGGAGCGAGCGUUGUCCGGAAUUACUGGGUGUAAAGGGAGCGUAGGCGGGGAUGCAAGUUGGGUGUCAAGACUACCGGCUCAACUGGUAGUCGCACUCAAAACUGCAGGUGUUGAGUGAAGUAGAGGCAGGCGGAAGUCCUAGUGUAGCGGUGAAAUGCGUAGAUAUUAGGAGGAACACCAGUGGCGAAGGCGGCCUGCUGGGCUUUUACUGACGCUGAGGCUCGAAAGUGUGGGGAGCAAACAGGAUUAGAUACCCUUGUAGUC
rnacentral:rRNA from 1 species